rnacentral:rRNA from 1 species
GAUAGUAUGUGAAUUGCAGAAUUCAGUGAAUCAUCGAAUCUUUGAACGCACAUUGCGCCCGCCAGCAUUCUGGCGGGCAUGCCUGUUCGAGCGUCAUU